rnacentral:rRNA from 1 species
UCAGACGAUGCGUCAUGCAUAUCAAUAAGCGGAGGAAAAGAAACUAACAAGGAUUCCCCUAGUAACGGCGAGUGAAGCGGGAAGAGCUCAAAUUUGAAAUCUUCAAGGUUUUACCUUGACGAAUUGUAGUUUAAAGAAGUGUUUUCUGUUGAAGUUUUGGUAAAAGUUCUUUGGAAUAGGACAUCAUAGAGGGUGAGAAUCCCGUAUUUGACCAUUAUUUUCAGCUGUGUGAUACACUUUCAAAGAGUCGGAUUGUUUGGGAAUGCAGUCCAAAAUGGGUGGUAAAUUUCAUCUAAAGCUAAAUAUUGGCGAGAGACCGAUAGCGAACAAGUACCGUGAGGGAAAGAUGAAAAGAACUUUGAAAAGAGAGUUAAACAGUACGUGAAAUUGUCAAAAGGGAAGCGUUUGACACCAGUGUUGUUUUCUCGAAAAUCAAUUAAAAAGAGUUGGAUUUUGUGUUGUAUUGACCUUAACAGCUUGCUUCACUCUUUUCCUGCUUUUUUUAAUGCACUUUUCGUUUAACAAGUCAACAUCAGUUUCUUUUGUUGUAAAAGGGUCAUUGGAAGGUGGCUUUCUCUUCGGAGAAAGUGUUUAUAGCCUUUGAUCUCUGCAAUCGGAGAGACUGAGGUCUGCAGCGUAGAUCCUUCGGGGUUAGAUACAUUUGUGCUAAGCUACAGCUUUUCAUAGACAACUUGUUGACUAUGUUUAGUCUUGUAACUUACCCGCUUAUGCUAUUUUACCUACGCUUAGGAUGUUGAUAUGCAUGACUGAUAU